UAAUGCGGAGGUAUACAUGCUUUUAUUGGAAUUUAACGGGACUAAACGCGCGCAUAGGUUGUUUUGUAACCCGAGAUGAUAAAGCCCCGGGUUUAACCGGGGGAAGGACAUUUCGAACUGUCAGACUAGAGUGUUGUAGAGGGUAGUGGAAUUUUCCUGUGUAGCGGUGAAAUGCGUAGAUAUGGGAAGGAACACCAGUGGCGAAGGCGGCUACCUGGACCAACACUGACACUGAGGUGCGAAAGCGUGGGGAGCAACCAGGAUUAGAUACCCUGGUAGUCCACGCCGUAAACGAUGUCAACUAGCCGUUGGGACUCUUGAAGUCUUAGUGGCGCAGCUAACGCAUUAAGUUGACCGCCUGGGGAGUACGGCCGCAAGGUUAAAACUCAAAUGAAUUGACGGGGGCCCGCACAAGCGGUGGAGCAUGUGGUUUAAUUCGACGCAACGCGAAGAACCUUACCUGGCCUUGACAUCCAGAGAACUUUCCAGAGAUGGAUUGGUGCCUUCGGGAACUCUGAGACAGGUGCUGCAUGGCCGUCGUCAGCUCGUGUCGUGAGAUGUUGGGUUAAGUCCCGUAACGAGCGCAACCCCUAUCCCUGGUUGCUAGCAGGUAAUGCUGAGAACUCCAGGGAGACUGCCGGUGACAAACCGGAGGAAGGUGGGGAUGACGUCAGGUCAUCAUGGCCCUUACGGCCAGGGCUACACACGUGCUACAAUGGCGCGUACAGAGGGCCGCCAACUCGCGAGAGUGAGCCAAUCCCUUAAAACGCGUCGUAGUCCGGAUCGGAGUCUGCAACUCGACUCCGUGAAGUCGGAAUCGCUAGUAAUCGCGAAUCAGAAUGUCGCGGUGAAUACGUUCCCGGGCCUUGUACACACCGCCCGUCACACCAUGGGAGUGGAUUGCACCAGAAGUAGUUAGUCUAACCUUCGGGAGGACGAUACCACGGUGUGU
rnacentral:rRNA from 1 species